rnacentral:piRNA from 1 species
UAUCUCAGUUGUUCACGUCACAAUAGAAUA